GCCUGAUUGGCUCAGUCGGUUAAGUGUCUGUCUUUGGCUCAGGUCAUGUCCAGAGUCCUGGGAUCAAGUCCCACAUCGGGCU
rnacentral:tRNA from 1 species